GUGCGUUUGUAACCGGUCUACAGUCUAAAAACCAGCAAAGUUACCAGCUCAAGUUAUUCGUUUCUUUUGAAUCGCGAGAGUGGAUGUACCGCUCGAACUGUUCUAUCUGCCUUAAAGGAACAAAGCCGAGUUGGAGAGCACGCUGGCUUUGCUUUCCAAGGAACAAUUUGCGUUAGACCCUACAUGUACGCGCUUCAAUAUAGUAUCUUAUUCAGCAUUUUUAAAAGUCGAGACUGCAACCAACGUUUUCAAACCAAGACUUCGUGUUAUACGUAAAAAGGAAAAUUGGAAGAGGGAAUGUAAAGCGGAUUGAAUUCAGUCUCAAAGUCUUUGUCUAGGUAGUUCCGGGUGUUUCCCCUCAGCUGACUAUAAAACACGCUAUAGGUCUAGUCAACUUUCGGCUAAGCAAGUUACUAAACAACUCCAAAUGCAAAAAGAUAUUACACGGUCCACUGAUGGUCCAACCUCUGACUAGGUUACAUUACUUUUAUUUGGAUCCAACAGAUUCAACUGACAGAUUAUGCAGUAGACACUGCUAUACUCUGGAAUUCACACUGGACACAAGAUAGCCACAAUCUGAUACACAAUACAUGUAUGCAAUUACUGACCUGUUAACUGUGCACAGAUCUAAAUAAGUAUUGGUAUUCAUUAAUUAUGAAAGAAUUUUAAAAAAUGGUAUCAAGUAUCGCGGUUUAAUGAAUAAAAAACGUGUAUUUUCAGAAAAUUCGUUUUAUUUAGAUCAAAGGACGGCAAUUUCCAGACUGGAAAUUCUUCUUUUAUCGACUGGUUAAUUCAAUUGAAGUGGACGGAUUGCAGAUCUUGGGACGUUAUUGAAGCUUUUUUCUAACUGCCUGGAAUAUAAAGAAAGGCCAAUAUUUUUCUGAGCAUGAAAUUGUUAAGAAAUAUUUCGAACAGCAACGGUUACGAAAGUGCCGCAAAUCAAAAUAUGCCAUGGUAACAAAAUUAUGCUACUGCCAUUGUUAAACUAACCUUUUUUAACGACCGUAGCCUUUUCCAGCAGCGUGACUUCCAUAACCUCCACUCAUCAGUGCAGAAUGACCUCCAUAUACCCCGCUCAUUUGUGAUCCAUGGCCACCGUAACCUUUGGCUGCCGAUGCUGCAUGACCUCCAUAUCCUCCGCUGGUUGGCAAAGCAUGGCCACCGUAUCCUCCGUUCAUUGACGCAACAUGACCACCAUAUCCUCCGCUCACAGGUGACGCGUGAUUGUUGCUGUAGCCUCCACUCUUAGGCCGACGGACCGCUUGCCUACUGCCGUACCCUCCGCUCGCAGGAGAAGGAUGCCCUCCGUAUCCUCCACCAACUGGUGCACCAUGUCCAUCAUACGCACCACUAACGGGGGCAGCAUGACUACUGAAAUGCCCUCCACCCACGGGUGAUGUGUGACCACCGUAUCCUCCGCUGAUUGGCGCAAUUUGACCUCCGUACCCCCCGCUCACGGGUGCUGCGGGACUGCUGUGAUGUCCCCCUAUCAUUGGAGAGAUGUGGCCACCGUAUCCUCCAUGCGACGAAUGGCCAGCGUGUCCCGAACUCAUCGGUAAUGUAUGACCACCGCCAUGUCCUAGACUUUGUUGGCCACCUGAUAAUUAUACAAAUUCAUUACUUGAUUUUUAAAACUCUGUAGCUGUCAAUAUCUAUUUUCCUUGUCCUGGUUGGUCUCGGACGUGCAAGGAGCAACACUUACCAUAGCUACCGUAACCACCUCCACUCCCGCCGCCUCCUCUUCCUAUACAUAAAAAUCAAUAAAUAGAUAUUGGAUCUAA
rnacentral:lncRNA from 1 species